UAAUACAGAGGUGGCAAGCGUUGUUCGGAAUUACUGGGCGUAAAGGGCGCGUAGGCGGUUCGAUAAGUCCCGCGUGAAAGCCCCCGGCUCAACUGGGGAACUGCGCGGGAAACUGACGGACUUGAGUUCGGGAGAGGGAAGCGGAAUUCCGGGUGUAGCGGUGAAAUGCGUAGAUAUCCGGAGGAACACCGGUGGCGAAGGCGGCUUCCUGGACCGACACUGACGCUGAGGCGCGAAAGCUAGGGGAGCAAACGGGAUUAGAUACCCCGGUAGUCCUAGCUGUAAACGAUGAGCGCUGGGUGUAGGGGGUGUUAACCCCUCCUGUGCCGAAGCUAACGCAUUAAGCGCUCCGCCUGGGGAGUACGGUCGCAAGGCUG
rnacentral:rRNA from 1 species